UCCCCGUUACCGGGGCAGUCUAUCUAGAAAAAUACAACUAGAUACAAGGGUUGCGCUCGUUGAUGGACUUAACCAAACAUCUCACGACACGAGCUGACGACGGCCAUGCAUCACCUGUCACAGGAUUCCCGAAGGCACGCUCUACUUUCGUAGUGCUUCCCUGGAUGUCAAGCCCUGGUAAGGUUCUUCGUUUAUCAUCGAAUUAAAGAACACGAUCCACCGCUUGUGCGGGUCCCCGUCAAUUCCUUUAUGUUUUAGUCUUGCGACCGUACUCCACAGGCGGGAUACUUAACGCGUUAGCUUCGCUACUGAAGGGGUCGAUACCUCCAACAGCUAGUAUCCAUCGUUUACGGCGUGGACUAC
rnacentral:misc_RNA from 1 species